rnacentral:rRNA from 1 species
UAGGGAAUAUUGGGCAAUGGAGGCAACUCUGACCCAGCCAUGCCGCGUGCAGGAAGACGGUCCUCUGGAUUGUAAACUGCUUUUGAAUGGGAAGAACAUACGAUUUGCGAAUUGUACUGACGGUACCAUUAGAAUAAGCACCGGCUAACUCCGUGCCAGCAGCCGCGGUAAUACGGAGGGUGCAAGCGUUAUCCGGAUUUAUUGGGUUUAAAGGGUGCGUAGGCGGCUUUAUAAGUCGGUGGUUAAAGGCAGCAGCUUAACUGUAUGCAUGCCAUCGAUACUGUAAGGCUUGAGUGAUUUGGAGGUAGCUAGAAUUCCCUGUGUAGCGGUGAAAUGCAUAGAUACGGGGAGGAAUACCGAUUGCGAAGGCAUGUUACUACGAAUUAACUGACGCUGAGGC